rnacentral:rRNA from 1 species
GAUGAACGCUGGCGGCGUGCCUAAUACAUGCAAGUCGAGCGAACGGACGAGAAGCUUGCUUCUCUGAUGUUGGCGGCGGACGGGUGAGUAACACGUGGAUAACCUACCUAUAAGACUGGGAUAACUUCGGGAAACCGGAGCUAAUACCGGAUAAUAUUUUGAACCGCAUGGUUCAAAAGUGAAAGACGGUCUUGCUGUCACUUAUAGAUGGAUCCGCGCUGCAUUAGCUAGUUGGUAAGGUAACGGCUUACCAAGGCAACGAUGCAUAGCCGACCUGAGAGGGUGAUCGGCCACACUGGAACUGAGACACGGUCCAGACUCCUACGGGAGGCAGCAGUAGGGAAUCUUCCGCAAUGGGCGAAAGCCUGACGGAGCAACGCCGCGCGAGUGAUGAAGGUCUUCGGAUCGUAAAACUCUGUUAUUAGAGAAGAACAUAUGUGUAAGUAACUGUGCACAUCUUGACGGUACCUAAUCAGAAAGCCACGGCUAACUACGUGCCAGCAGCCGCGGUAAUACGUAGGUGGCAAGCGUUAUCCGGAAUUAUUGGGCGUAAAGCGCGCGUAGGCGGUUUUUUAAGUCUGAUGUGAAAGCCCACGGCUCAACCGUGGAGGGUCAUUGGAAACUGGAAAACUUGAGUGCAGAAGAGGAAAGUGGAAUUCCAUGUGUAGCGGUGAAAUGCGCAGAGAUAUGGAGGAACACCAGUGGCGAAGGCGACUUUCUGGUCUGUAACUGACGCUGAUGUGCGAAAGCGUGGGGAUCAAACAGGAUUAGAUACCCUGGUAGUCCACGCCGUAAACGAUGAGUGCUAAGUGUUAGGGGGUUUCCGCCCCUUAGUGCUGCAGCUAACGCAUUAAGCACUCCGCCUGGGGAGUACGACCGCAAGGUUGAAACUCAAAGGAAUUGACGGGGACCCGCACAAGCGGUGGAGCAUGUGGUUUAAUUCGAAGCAACGCGAAGAACCUUACCAAAUCUUGACAUCCUUUGACAACUCUAGAGAUAGAGCUUUCCCCUUCGGGGGACAAAGUGACAGGUGGUGCAUGGUUGUCGUCAGCUCGUGUCGUGAGAUGUUGGGUUAAGUCCCGCAACGAGCGCAACCCUUAAGCUUAGUUGCCAUCAUUAAGUUGGGCACUCUAAGUUGACUGCCGGUGACAAACCGGAGGAAGGUGGGGAUGACGUCAAAUCAUCAUGCCCCUUAUGAUUUGGGCUACACACGUGCUACAAUGGACAAUACAAAGGGCAGCGAAACCGCGAGGUCAAGCAAAUCCCAUAAAGUUGUUCUCAGUUCGGAUUGUAGUCUGCAACUCGACUACAUGAAGCUGGAAUCGCUAGUAAUCGUAGAUCAGCAUGCUACGGUGAAUACGUUCCCGGGUCU